GUGGCUUUUCUGUCCAACGUGCUGUGCUGUGUGUGCCUGCAGGUGGUUGGUGUUUCUGCAGUGUUUGGCACAGGACUGGGGGAGAUUUUUAUCCAGCUUUCUAAAGCUGUAGAUGAAUAUGAGAGACUGAAUGCACUCCCUUUAUUCACCUUUUCAGAGAGUAUCGUCCAGAAUACGAGCGCCUGAGAAAAACACUGGUAAGUGUUUUUAGCUGUUUUACACCUGAACAGUGUAUCUUGGGUCACUUUUAGGCACACAAUUACCUUUAUGUUGAGAGGGUCUAACAUUUCAUUUACUAGUCGUACUCACUGUGGGAAAACUCCUGUCCUGAAGGAGUCCACCAUUUGCCUUUUUUUUCCUAGAUGUGGUGGAGCAUAUCUUUACAAAAAAAAAGAUUUUGUAAAACAGAUGUUGCUCAGUGGUUUAGUGCUAAUAUUUGAGCUAAUUGUGUGAAAAUGAUUGGGAAAUAAGAUUGUGUCUUCCAUUCAGAUGGAUAGAGAGUUCUUAAAAAUAAAUUUCCAAAGGGAUUUGUUGAGACUAUCCCUGUAUCUUCCUGCACCAGUGAAGAGUACUAGUUUGACUUAGUAAGAAAGACUGAAUUGCAGUGCCAAAAUCAGUAGCUCUGCUCACCUUGAGUUGUGGCUGUCCAAAGGACAGUUCUCUGCAGGCACAGCUACACAGAGUUUGGCUUCCCGGCGCUGCUGAAAACGUCCUAGAAUCCCACCUGACUGGAGGUUGCUUUCCACGCUUAGUCAGAAGUUCUGUGAAACCUUAGUUGAAAUGUAAGACCUGCAUAGUGACUUCUGCUCUCUGACUGGGGGACAGGCUGCUGGGUUUGGGUGAGGUUUCUCUUCUCCUAAUGUUUUAAAUGUUCUCAGAAUCCACAGGUAAAUCUUUGUCUAUGGGAGAAAGCUCAAAAUAAACAAAAGAGAGAGCAGCUGGAACACUUGUGGAAGGACAUGGGCAGCGUGUGUGUGCAGGGCAGCACAGUGGCAGGACCUGAUGCUUCUGCAAUGGGUCCCUCUGAGCUAAUACUAACACGAGGAACUCUCGAUGAAGAGCAAGAAGAGAGGGAGAGUGACGCUGAUGGCAUUGACCAUGAAGGUAAGGGAAUGAGGUCUAAAAGCUGCCUCUCAAGAAAUCCCCUCUAUAUUUCAUGUCCUGCGUGGACUGUAAGGAGAGCCUAGAAAACAAGCAAACAUUCAGUCACCUGACGUGUCAGAAUCUGUAGCAGAAGCUCAGCUGCAAUGGUCAGUGCAGGGAUAUCACUCUGUAACCUUUGUGAAAGUUCAAUUGUAAAUUUUCUAUUCAAGUAAUUAAUAGGUGUAUAACACACAUAGACCAGAGAACUCGUUAGGCUUGGGGCAUGCAGUGACCUCUGAACCUGAUUGAUGCACAGAUGUGUCCAUCAUCUUUUUGGCCUUACAGUUUCUGCCCCUGGCUCUCUUCCCUUUUCCUGUGACUGUGGUCUUGGAGCAAUCUUCUAAGUUGUUACAGUGUGAUUUUUCUCUUCUAUAGCUCACAGACUUAAUCUUCAUUCUUUCCCUGUUCCACUGAUGGGUAGGAUCACUUAUUUCCUUUGCCCUGUAAUGUAGCUGAAGAUGGAAUAGACUUUCUAUGUUGCUUUGGCUA